AACGAACGCUGGCGGCAGGCUUAACACAUGCAAGUCGAACGCAUCCUUCGGGGUGAGUGGCAGACGGGUGAGUAACACGUGGGAACGUACCUUUCGGUUCGGGAUAACCCAGGGAAACUUGGGCUAAUACCGGAUACGUCCUUUCGGGGAGAAAGAUUGAUUUGCCGAGAGAUCGGCCCGCGUCUGAUUAGCUAGUUGGUGGGGUAAUGGCCCACCAAGGCGACGAUCAGUAGCUGGUCUGAGAGGAUGAUCAGCCACACUGGGACUGAGACACGGCCCAGACUCCUACGGGAGGCAGCAGUGGGGAAUAUUGGACAAUGGGCGCAAGCCUGAUCCAGCCAUGCCGCGUGAGUGAUGAAGGCCCUAGGGUUGUAAAGCUCUUUCGGCGGGACGAUAAUGACGGUAACCGUAGAAGAAGCCCCGGCUAACUUCGUGCCAGCAGCCGCCGUAAG
rnacentral:rRNA from 1 species